CCUACGGGAGGCUGCAGUGAGGAAUAUUGGUCAAUGGGCGGAAGCCUGAACCAGCCAAGUAGCGUGCAGGAUGACGGCCCUACGGGUUGUAAACUGCUUUUAUACGGGAAUAACGCGCCUUACGUGUAGGGCUUUGCAUGUACCGUAUGCAUAAGGACCGGCUAAUUCCGUGCCAGCAGCCGCGGUAAUACGGAAGGUCCGGGCGUUAUCCGGAUUUAUUGGGUUUAAAGGGAGCGUAGGCCGCAUGUCAAGCGUGCUGUGAAAUGUCCGGGCUCAACCCGGGCCUUGCAGCGCGAACUGGCGUGCUUGAGUCCGCGGAAAGCAGGCGGAAUUCGUCGUGUAGCGGUGGAAUGCUUAGAUAUGACGAAGAACCCCGAUUGCGAAGGCAGCUUGCUGCAGCGGAACUGACGCUGAUGCUCGAAAGCGCGGGUAUCGAACAGGAUUAGAUACCCCUGUAGUC
rnacentral:rRNA from 1 species